GCUCAGAGUAUAAGCCAAUGGAGCUUGGAAGGCUUCCGCAGUCAUAGUCCAUCAUACGUGGUGUUCUUAAGACCUUGAGUAUGGUUCGUCAUGCUAAGCAUUGAGUUUGCCAAGUAAGCUGUCGUGCGGGGGAUCCGUCUGGGGGGCUGAGGCUUCGGCCGAAGUGCUUCCAGGCGCCCCUUUUGAAUGGACGUUCAGAGGCUCUUGUGUCUAAUGCGGUUAUGCCCACCACAGCACGUUGUGAGGUCACCCACAGGCUCAAACUGCCGAUCGCGCAUCCAGGACGAUGGCAACGAUGCGUUGUUGACGAUGGCUCCAGAGAGAGAAUUCGCUCACACGCGUGUCUAGUCCUGGGUCGGGCGGCGACCGAGAUAAACCUGGUAUGAUCCUCUUGCGACGAGCUGCUUUCUGGCCAGACCGACGCCCGGACGCCUCCACUGUGCCGGAAGCGUCAACCCCAGGCGGUGUGAACCCAGCUGCAUUAUGCAAGGUCUCUCAGCCGGGCGUUGGUCUGAGUGGUGUUAAGUCCAGCACCAUCGGUCACGUCUCGAAACACGGGCCAAGGAGUAUAGCAUGUGUGCAAGUCUAAGGGUCUCACAAAACCCGAAGGCGAAGUGAAAGCAAGACUGUGGCGGGUGAGCUACGGCAAACCCGCCGGCCUAGUGACGCUUGCGUCGCUGGCUUUUGGCAGAGCUGAUCCUGUUUUCUCGGUUAAUUCUUGGUGCAGGCGCAAGCUCCGGGCUCACGUACAACACUGGUCACGCCUCGUG
rnacentral:rRNA from 1 species